CUCCAUCGUCGUAGCAGACAUAUCAGUCGGUGUGGUCGCAGUGGCUUUCCUUUAUCGACGGGGAGUGGAGGAUUGCUUCGGAGUCGGGGAGGUUUGAAGUUAUGUUGCUGUUCCUGUCAGCAUUUCAGUCUCAGGGUAAGUCAUCUGCAUCAGCGGAACGAGCGAUGUCGGCCUUGUCUUUUGUUUCUCUUUUUAGGGUGGAGGGAUCUCACAAAAG